rnacentral:rRNA from 1 species
UUAUAUCCGCUGUGGACGUCAGGAAAUUUGAGGAGAUUUGCCCUUAGUACGAGAGGACCGGGGUGAACGUACCGCUGGUGUAUCAGUUGUCAUACCAAUGGCAUCGCUGAGUAGCUAUGUACGGGAAAGAUAAGCGCUGAAAGCAUAUUAAGCGCGAAACUGACUUCAAGAUGAGAUUUCCCUAUGGAGCCCCCUGAAAGACUAUCAGGUUGAUAGGCACCAAGUGUAAGCACGGCAACGUGUUCAGCUGAGGUGUACUAAUAGGGCCAUCGAUUUUUU